CAGUCGCCACGGGAACACGUAGGGUGCGAGCGUUAAUCGGAAUUACUGGGCGUAAAGCGUGCGCAGGCGGUUGUGUAAGACAGGUGUGAAAUCCCCGGGCUUAACCUGGGAACUGCGCUUGUGACUGCACAGCUAGAGUAUGGCAGAGGGGGGUGGAAUUCCACGUGUAGCAGUGAAAUGCGUAGAGAUGUGGAGGAACACCGAUGGCGAAGGCAGCCCCCUGGGCCAAUACUGACGCUCAUGCACGAAAGCGUGGGGAGCAAACAGGAUUAGAUACCCCCGUAGUCCCUGUCUCUUAUAC
rnacentral:rRNA from 1 species